rnacentral:tRNA from 1 species
AUGUAACUCAAUGGUAGAGUGCCUGCUUAGCAGGUAUGAAGCCCUGGGUUCAAUCCCCAGCAU